rnacentral:rRNA from 1 species
CCUACGGGCGGCAGCAGUGGGGAAUAUUGGACAAUGGGGGGAACCCUGAUCCAGCCAUGCCGCGGGUGUGAAGAAGGCCCUCGGGUUGUAAAGCACUUUCAGUGAGGAAGAACGCCUGGUGGUUAAUACCCAUCAGGAAAGACAUCACUCACAGAAGAAGCACCGGCUAACUCCGUGCCAGCAGCCGCGGUAAUACGGAGGGUGCGAGCGUUAAUCGGAAUUACUGGGCGUAAAGCGCGCGUAGGUGGCUUGAUAAGCCGGUUGUGAAAGCCCCGGGCUCAACCUGGGAACGGCAUCCGGAACUGUCAAGCUAGAGUGCAGGAGAGGAAGGUAGAAUUCCCGGUGUAGCGGUGAAAUGCGUAGAGAUCGGGAGGAAUACCAGUGGCGAAGGCGGCCUUCUGGACUGACACUGACACUGAGGUGCGAAAGCGUGGGUAGCAAACAGGAUUAGAUACCCGAGUAGUC